AUUUAGGUUAUUAUUUUAGCUACCAAGGUUCAUAGCACGGUGAGACUUUGAUGACUCCCCCAGGAGCCUACACAGCAUGUUCAGGUAGUAUGAAAGCCAGACAACAGCAAGGAAGCUUCUUCUCUAGUGCCAACUUGAUUUCUCCAAGUGUGUGAUGUCUUCAGCAAGAGUCUUACCUAGGGACUGGAAUUCUAAUCUUAUAAUUCAUGGUUCCAUUUUUCUGUUCCUCUACUAGUGAAUUCAUUUCUAAAUUACAAAGAAAAGUGAAAAUUAACUGAAAUCCCCUCAAAAAUACUAAGUGUGGUACCCCAAGCCAAGGAGUUUUAGCCUUUUAAUAACCAUAGAAGUAGGAUUUUUAUUAAGUCCCACUUUUCAUUAGUAGUCUACAUCUUUAUAAUUAAGAAGCCUGGUGUAUAGAUGGUGAAUGUUUUUGAAUUGUAUACAGGCUUUUAAUGUGGCCAACUCCUUGUGAGGUCUGGCAUAUGCAUCUCUGGGAUUGCCCCAGGUGCACUCAUGAACAGGUGCAGCCAACCACAUACUUGUUGGGUUCUUGAAAAUAUUCAGGGCUUGGGCGAUGCAUGAUGUAUCAUCAGACUUGAUGCUUUGAGGGUCAGGUUGGGAAAGCUUAAGGGAUAUUGAGGAAAUAAUAAGUACCUGGUUUGAUUUGUGUUCAAGAUCCACAGAAAAAUAAAGAACCAAGAUGGGUGCAAGAUUUCCCUCCCUCUUUAUAUUCACCUUGUAUGUGGUUAUUGAUGCAACCUGUGGAGGUAAUGAUGCUAAUUAUUACAAAAUAUUUUGCAGAUAUGCAAGAAAAUGUAGAGUGAUACUGUAGUGGGGAAGUGGAUAGACUCAUAUUUGAGUCUCCGUCUCCCAUCUGCUUGCAGAGUAAUAUGGGAAAAGCCUGUUUCCUCAUCUAUUAAAUGACACCAAUAUUUAUCUUGCAGGGUUGUGAGGAUUAGAUGAUCAGGCAUGUACCUUUUACACACAGAGAAGUUCUUACACUGCCUAUCACAGAGUGAAUGAUAGAGAUUGGAAACUUCACCAUCUCUCUCUUUGAUGUAUGGACCAGACUCCUAGCUGGUUUUUUUUGCCUUUGGCUCCAGCUCUGCUUCAUUCUAUCCACAACACAGCAGCUACAACGAUCCUGUUCCAUACAGUUGAUGCAUUGAACUGGGAACCUGGAUGAACCAAAAGUGAAUGAAUAGGAAAGGAUUGGAAGGUCCAAUUUGCUGAAAACAACAACAACAACAACAACAAAAAAAAA
rnacentral:lncRNA from 1 species